ensembl:miRNA
UUGGCUACAGCACCUGUCUUGUAAACAGGAGAUCCUGGGUUCAAUUCCCAGUGGUGCCUUGCUGUGGCC